UACGUAGGGUGCGAGCGUUAAUCGGAAUUACUGGGCGUAAAGCGUGCGCAGGCGGUCUGUUAAGACCGAUGUGAAAUCCCCGGGCUUAACCUGGGAACUGCAUUGGUGACUGGCAGGCUUUGAGUGUGGCAGAGGGAGGUAGAAUUCCACGUGUAGCAGUGAAAUGCGUAGAGAUGUGGAGGAAUACCGAUGGCGAAGGCAGCCUCCUGGGCCAACACGUGACGCUCAUGCACGAAAGCGUGGGAGC
rnacentral:rRNA from 1 species